GAAGGUAUAGUUCAAUGGUAGAGCGCGUGCUUAGCAUGCACAAGGUCCUGGGUUCAAUCCCCAGUACCUCCA
rnacentral:tRNA from 1 species